AGCAGUAGCCACGGUAAUACGUAGGUGGCAAGCGUUGUCCGGAAUUAUUGGGCGUAAAGGGCUCGCAGGCGGUUUCUUAAGUCUGAUGUGAAAGCCCCCGGCUCAACCGGGGAGGGUCAUUGGAAACUGGGAAACUUGAGUGCAGAAGAGGAGAGUGGAAUCCCACGUGUAGGGGUGAAAUGCGUAGAGAUGUGGAGGAACACCAGUGGCGAAGGCGACUCUCUGGUCUGUAACUGACGCUGAGGAGCGAAAGCGUGGGGAGCGAACAGGAUUAGAUACCCCUGUAGUCCCUGUCUCUUAUAC
rnacentral:rRNA from 1 species